rnacentral:lncRNA from 1 species
CUUCAUUUUUUUUUUGUUUUAGAUUUAUUUGAAUGAGCUGUUAUGAUUGGAGACAGUGAGAAUUUCAGAUUAAUGUUCCGCAGCCAAAAAAAAAAAAAAAACCUCUGGAAAGCUGGCAAGUGUUCAUAAGUCAGCCCUAGAAUUAUGUAGGUUGAAGGCUCCCAGUGGACAGACCGAAUAUAUAAGAAGGAAACCAGAGAUCUGGUGCUAUUACGUCCCUGAGACUAAGGGAACGAAUAAGCACAGAAUUCAAAGCAUUCUUCAGCUUGAAUUUUUAAGGGGUGCACUUAGAAACUAGGCAUGCUGAUUUAUGAUAACUAAGGUUUAAACUCCAACAACCAAAGGUGUAAGAAUUA